AUUGAACGCUGGCGGCAUGCUUUACACAUGCAAGUCGGACGGCAGCGCGGGCUUCGGCCUGGCGGCGAGUGGCGAACGGGUGAGUAAUACAUCGGAACGUGCCCAGUAGUGGGGGAUAGCUCGGCGAAAGCCGGAUUAAUACCGCAUACGACCUGAGGGUGAAAGCGGGGGACUUUAGGGCCUCGCGCUAUUGGAGCGGCCGAUGGCAGAUUAGCUAGUUGGUGGGGUAAAGGCCUACCAAGGCGACGAUCUGUAGCUGGUCUGAGAGGACGACCAGCCACCGGGGGACGGAGACACGGCCCAGACUCCUCGGGGGGGCAGCAGGGGGGAAUUUUGGACAAGGGGCGCAAGCCUGACCCAGCAAUGCGGGGGGUGUGAUGAGGGCCUUGGGUUUUAAAAGCACUUUGGGGGGGAAGAAAAAGGGCCGGGCUAAUACCAGGGUACGAUGACGGUACCUGAAAAAAAAGCCCCGGCUAACUCCGUG
rnacentral:rRNA from 1 species